GGCGAUCAGAUACCGCCCUAGUUCUGACCGUAAACUAUACCAGCUCAUGACAAGACGGGUCGUAAUGUCCUCGUCGGGUCGCCCCCGGAAACGAAAGCUUUCGGUUCCGGGGGGAGUAUGGUUGCAAAGCUGAAACUUAAAGAAAUUGACGGAAGGGCACCACCAGGAGUGGAGCCUGCGGCUUAAUUAGACUCAACACUGGGAAGCUCACCCGGUCUGGACACUCUGAGGAUUGACGGAAUCUCGAAGCUCCUUCUCGAUUUAGUGGCUGGUGGUGCAUGGCCGUUCUUAGUUGGUGGAGUGAUCUGUCUGGUUUAUUCCGGUAACGAUCGAGACUCCAGCCAACUCAAUAGUUACUGGACGUUUUCGUCUAGUUAACUUCUUAGAGGGAUUAGUGGCGUUUAGUCACACGAGAAGGAGCGAUAACAGGUCUGUGAUGCCCUUAGAUGUCCGGGGCUGCACGCGCGCCACACUGGGAGAAUCACUAGGUGUUCCAUUGCCGAAAGGUAUUGGUAAUCCUUUUGAACCUCUCCCCGUGGCCGGGAUAGGGAUUUGUAAUUAUUUCCCUUGAACGAGGAAUUCCUAGUAAGUGUGAGUCAUCAACUCACGUUGAUUACGUCCCUGCCCUUUGUA
rnacentral:rRNA from 3 species